rnacentral:rRNA from 1 species
GAUGAACGCUAGCGGGAGGCCUAACACAUGCAAGCCGAGCGGUAUUUGUUCUUCGGAACAGAGAGAGCGGCGCACGGGUGCGGAACACGUGUGCAACCUGCCUUUAUCUGGGGGAUAGCCUUUCGAAAGGAAGAUUAAUACCCCAUAAUAUAUUGAGUGGCAUCACUUGAUAUUGAAAACUCCGGUGGAUAGAGAUGGGCACGCGCAAGAUUAGAUAGUUGGUGAGGUAACGGCUCACCAAGUCAAUGAUCUUUAGGGGGCCUGAGAGGGUGAUCCCCCACACUGGUACUGAGACACGGACCAGACUCCUACGGGAGGCAGCAGUGAGGAAUAUUGGACAAUGGGUUAGCGCCUGAUCCAGCCAUCCCGCGUGAAGGACGACGGCCCUAUGGGUUGUAAACUUCUUUUGUAUAGGGAUAAACCUACUCUCGUGAGAGUAGCUGAAGGUACUAUACGAAUAAGCACCGGCUAACUCCGCG